AAGGAAUGUGUUCCCCUCUACAACCGAUGUGGGAUCUCACAUGUGGAGAGUUUGGUAUGGAUGUAAACUGGAAGGAUAGGCAGAGAAAAAACUAAGGCAAAAUGUGCUGUCUAAUUUGACAAGAGAGGAGAAGAAGGGAGUGGAUUUGGGUCAUUCAGCAAUUAAUAGGGGGAGGAUAAUCCAUGGAAACAAAAAGAGGAAGAGAUUAGGUUAGGUUUUCCCGUGAAGUCAUUACAAGACAAUGAAAUAUAAGCCACUACUUUCUGGUGGUUCUAACUUGACUGUGUCUGAAUUGCAAGGAUUUUUUACAAUUCCAUGGCAGGACUCUCAAAAGGGAUGGUUUUGCUGAUGUCAGAAUCUCAUGAGAAUUGUGGAAAGCUCUACCUGGCAAAAGGGAAAGAGGGAACUGUGAUGUCACCCAUUGGAUGAUCAUAUUCAAAUUAUUCUUCUUCCUGACUUGACAAAUCUUGAAAUGAAGGUUGAUUCAAGUGGGAUAACCCCAAUUCCUGCCUGAAAGGAUCAUAAAAGUUUGGAAAAUUCUUUUGAUAAUUGAAAUUUGGAAGCUCCUGUUUUGUUAAUGCUAGAUUGCAGGGGGAUAUACGUUCAUUGUGUAUGAACAAAAGUAUAUAUUAUGCAUGUUAAAUGGAGAGAUCUUUGAUACUUGACCCUUUUUAAUUAGUUUUAGUAGCAAUAGCCUGAAAGGGGUAGCCCAGUGUCCGAAUUUUUUGGCGAGUUCAAUAAGGAUGAUGCCCGAUGUCUCCGAAGUUUGUGCCUUCUUCCUACGCGAAUAAAGUUAUAUGUUGCUUAAGCCAUUGUGUUACAUUUUGCUGGCAUGCCAUAUAACAUUGUUUUCAAUCUUGCUUUCGAACCCUCUUUCAAAAUCUCACUGCCCCUUUUUUCUAUUUUUUUUUUUUCUCGAUAAGGGUCAGAGGCUUGAACAUAUGUUGCCCGACCGCAGGCGACGUGAAUAUAAAUUAGCUUGACUCACUUGGUGUUGGAAAGUAAGUGCCACAUAAUCACAAAGUCCGCUAUCAAGAAAAGUGUGAUCGUGACAAGGGCACAAACGUUAAAAAAAAAUGAUAUCAUCCAUUAUGAACUGUACAACAGUUCCAAUUCAAAGAAUCAAGCUCUUCCACUCAAAAAAUGAAUUGUGAUACCACCCAUUGGAUGAUCAUAUCCAAAUUCUUCCUCAGCUUGACUCAAUAACUCUUGAAAUGAAGGUUGGUUCAAGCAAGAUAGCGGAAUGAC